rnacentral:lncRNA from 1 species
CACCUGGGGAGUGUAAAAAGCUACUACUCACGCCCCGGCCCCACCCCCAGAGAUUCUGAUGACACUGGUGUGGGGUGACGCCCGGCCAUCAGGAUUUUUAAAGCUCCCCAGGUGAUUUUACUUUGCAGCCAAAUUUUGGAACCACUGUCUUACACCCUGGCCACUUUCCCCUUUCCCGUUGCCUCCCUUGGCGCGCCCUGAGCCAUUUGACUCCUGCUCUUCUCCAGAUCCCAAAGUUUGGCUUCCCAGGCUGUGCCAGGCCGGCUUGGCCCUGCCCACUGCCUUAAUCCCACCCUAGUUCUGGGAUUGUGAAGCCAAACAUUUCCUCCUUCACUCCUCCCCAAGUCCCUUCUUAGUGUAGGUGGUUUUACUUUUUGGGGGCGUUUCGGGUGAGGACCUUUGUCCGAGACUUUUGAAAAAACGAAAGAACUCCGAUCCUCCUCUGUUCUGUCAGUUUUUGUCUCACACAUUUUGCUGCUAUGCUGUUGGGUCUGAGUUUCUGCCCUGCAUCAUUUUCUUUGUCACAGAGGAACAUCUUUUAACAUUCUCGCAAGGAGAACACAGACCGUGCUCCAACAAGUGUCUGACAACAAUUUGAAGCUUGAUGUUGAGCCCUUCAAAACCACACAGUCUUAGGUGGUAGCAGCAGGAAGUUCACCAGUGGGACAGCAGAGAAAUUGCGAGAAGCCCUGCUGAGGAAGCCCCAGUGGGCUGGGGCCGUCUUGUUUUUUGCUGAGGAAGAUUCACCCUGAGCUAACAUCUGUGCCAAUCUUCCUCUAUAUUGUAUGUGGGUUGCCGCCACAGCAUGGCCACUGAUGAGUGGUGUAGGUCCGCACCCAGGAGCCAAACCCGAGCUGCAGAAGCGGAGAACACUGGACUUAAUCACUAAGCCAUGGGGCUGGUGGGGCCAUCAUUUUUGCUCACGUUCCUCCUCUUCUAGUUCUUGUCUUCCCCACCCACCCCCUCCUGGUCAUCUCUUUUUCAUUCUUUCCUGUCCUCUCCAUUUAUCUACAUCAGUCACAAAUCUUUCAAAGGUGAGCCUGUUCCCUCUGCCUACCCAAGACAUCCUCCAUGCAGCCCACCUCCUUCUCUCCCACUUGAGUUUGGUGACCCAGAGCUUGUAAGUGUGUUGUCACACCACAACCAGAAGUGGUUCAUGAAAUGAGACAAGCUGGGAAAUAAGGCUGUAAGUGAUUCCUUCCUCUACAAAAUUACAUGGAGUGCUGUGGUGCUGAGCCCUGUAUUGGUCUUGAAAACUGGACAUUUCCUCAGCAACUUGAUAAGAAUUCGCUAUGAGGCUGACUAGAAUCUGGGGGCUGGAGGGGAAACUGAGGCCUAGAGCAAAGAGGUAACCGUACAAGUUUCACUGCUAGAGGGCUCUGCCUGGCCCAGGGACUUACUAAGGCAUGGCUCAGAAAUGAUCCUGGGUAACUGCUUUGUUUUGCAAAUUGCAAAACUGAGGUCUGGAGACACCAAUGACUUGCCCAGGGCAUGUGGCUUGUUCCCAAAGACUAGGACUACAGCCCAGGACUCCUGACUCUUCUUCCUAGAACACCUCAGCUGCCUCAGUCUUCUCCAGAGUGACCUUUAGAGACUAGUUUAAUUUUGUAAGCUGGUGGGGCUUGCAGUAAGAACUUUGAAGAAGAAAUGUCAAAAGGAAUCGACAAGAAUAAAAAUGGAGAGGAGAUCACAAAGCUCAGUGUCCCUUGAGGCUUUUCCUAUCUCUUUCCUUGACACCUCCCUAGCCAGCCCCUCCUCCUCCCUUGCACGGCCUCACUGUUUGCGGCGUCCAAAGGGUGGCUCUGGCCUCCUCUGCACCCACUUCCCAGGGCGCAUGUCCACUCACAUCACUUUAGCUCCUGUGACAUGCAGACACUUCCACAUCUGCUGCUCCUGCCCUGGACUUCACAUUUCUUUCCACAGCUGGUUCUGGGAUAUUUCCAUAUGUAAAUAUGCUUAGCUCAGCUGGAAAUCAAAAUUGGAAUUCAUCUUCCCUCUGAAAAUCUGCAGCCUUUUCCUACACCCCUGUUUCCUUCCGUGCUUCCAUAGUCUCCCAGACUCAAAACUUUCGUGUCCCCAGAGGCUGGAGGAGUUGGGAAGGGGAGUCAGUGUUUAAUGGGGACAGAGCUUCAGUUUGGGAAGAUGACAACGUUCUGGACACGGAUGGUGAUGAUGGUUGUCCAACAAUGUGAAUGUACUUAAUGCCACUGAACUGCACACUUAAUAAUGGUUACAAUGGAGAAAAAUGGUUGCAGGGGUAAAUUUUAUAUGUAUUUAACACAAUAUAAAAAACAUAAAACAAAAAACUUUCAUGUUAUCCUUGACUCAUGGCUACUUUGCUCUCUCCUUCCCAGCUCACUUUGUCCCCGGGUCAUGCUGAGUUUUCACUUAGUGGAAGUUCCUCAAACUUUCACAAACUCCAGCAUCAUCAGGGACGCUUGUUAGUUAUCAAUUCCCGAGCCCCAUCCCCCUCUUUAGUCUAAGAGUGAGGCCUGGAAUCUGCAUUUUAAACGAACUUGCCAACAAACCUGACACAAGUGGACUGCAGACCACACUUGGAGAAACACUGCCUUCCAGUGUCUUUCGGCUUUGUCCCUUUGUCUCCUUUCCACGACCCCUCUCCCUCUCUGCCCCGGCUGGCCCUCAUCACCUCGCACCUGGAUUACAGCAACAGCUGGCCUGUCUUCCGCUAGCCUUUCCCUGCUCCAGCCUCUCCAGCUGCCAGGACCCAUCUUCUGCAAAUAUCUUUGGCAUCACAUCACUUCCCCGCUCAGAAGCCCACCAUGGCUCCCUCAGACCUAGUAGAUCCUAUCUCCAUUCAUUUGGCUGGGAGCCAGCCAAGUCGGCCUCCCAUCAUCCCUCCUUCCUCCUUCCCUGUUCACUCCCAACUCUGCAGGCUCAUGGGACAUUUUUAAUCUUAUGAUAGCUCCUCUGCUGGUUUGGGGGGGUCUCCUUUCUACCACCCCCCUCCCCGCCUCCAGAACACUUCUGGUUAUAUGGGAGGAAUUAUGAAAGCUGUUGAGAGUCUCCAUCCUGUUUCUCAAUGUGUCUGUCCCCUCUCCCCUACACUCCCGGCGGUGCCAUUCACUAGCUAAAUGGCUUUGGGCAAGUUGCUUCACCUCUCCGUACCUUGGUGUUCUCAUUUUCUCAUCUAAAAUGGGGAUCUGAGUCAUAUACCUUCACAGAUUUGUGGAGAGGGUUAAAAGAGGCAAUAGAUGCCAAAGGGCUUAGAACAGUGUCUGGCACAAAGUAAGUGCCAUGGAAAUGUUAACUUUUAUUAUUAAUUAUGGUUGUUAUGGCCCCUUCCGCCAGCUCUUUCCUGGAAACCUCUUCUGCUCGGAAUAGUUAACUGAUGGAGUUUUCUGUCAGACCUUGCCGUGUCUAGCAGAUGGAGUUAAGUAUUAAGUAUUUGGGUUCCAUCAAGCUUCCCUGCAUGAGACAACCUAAGGCGCUGGGCUGUCUACAAAGCUCUAAUUAUGUCCAAUAAUUUCUAACCAACUAGGAGGACAACAGGUGCGAUCCGCAAAAGAGAUUUUUCCAGGAUAAGGAGGAUGAUGUUAGGUCAACUUCAAAAUACCCUAAGGGACAGCAGGGUGUGCGCCUUCCUUGCUAUGGUCUUUCUGGAAUCCUUCUCCCUACACUCCAGGUCCCAGUGGCCCUGCUGCCUCAUCUGCUCGGUCCCUGGGUUCCUUCUCAGAGCCCAACCAGGAGCACCUUCCUCUGGUAGUUCCCGCCUGGGAGCCUUGCACCUUGCACCCCAGCAGUCCUUGUCUAUAAAUAAUCUACUGCCCACAUUUCUGUUCUACUUUUCAAAUCUACCUCUCUGCUUCUAUGGCAAAUACAAUACAUUCCUUUAAAAGCCCCACUGAAUUCACAGUCGCUGUUUGUCAUCACAUGCCCCCUUUCUCUCUCUCUCAGUGAGUACUAAAAGUUCAACUACUAUUGGGUUGGGGGAGGGAGGUCUGAGAAUAUUUUUUGACAUUGAAAAGGGACCCCUGUUGUCACAAAGGCUGGGAACCACUGCCCCAUGGGAUAUGUGAGAACUGUGGGAGUAGCACCGAGCUCCCUGGCUCUCAGUUUUCUUGUCUGUCAAAUGGAGGUAAAAAUCAUAACUGCCUGUGUUUCUGACGGCAGGAAACAGCGGGUUUGUUCCGCAUUAAUGAGGAGGGGCUCAGAGCGGAGCUCCUCUGAUUCUUGUCGAUGUUCAGGGAGGGGAGAGCUGCGUGGGCAUCAGAUGAGAUAACAGAUAGGAGGGCCCUGGGAGAGGGUGCGUGCCCAGGCAGAGGAGCAUUAGUGCCAUUGUUCCUCUUGUUCUUUUCCUUGUUCUGGGUCCAGCUGGACUCACUGAGCCCAGAACCCCAAAGCCCGUGAGCGUCUUUCCAGGAGCAGUGUGUGCUUUGCCUUGCCCCACCCUUACUUGGUUUUCGGUGGAACAACAACAAAGAGCUGCUCCUAUAUGUGACUAACAAACAGCCACAAAGUUCCUCUUAUCUAGUCUAGCAACCGCUGUGGCCUGAGAAGUGGCAGUGUUUGU